AUGACAGACAAUUGCCAAGCACUCUUUCAUGCCGCCUCAGUGCAUUGUAUUUAUUUUUACAUACUCUCUUCGAAAGUGAGUGUUUCGAGAGCAGAUGCACCAGCUCCUAUUGCCAGCUUUACCCGGGAGCUCACAGCCUGUGGGAACCAGGCUCUGGAACUAUUUCAAACAGAGGCCGAAGAGACGGGGCAUCUCAGUCCUUAUUGCCCUGUAUGUCAGCCUCUGUUGUGGGAAGAACCUGACCGCCAGUGAACUCGGACUGCUACAGAACUGCUGGCUCAACCCCAGCGGAGCCUCAGAAAACUGACGACCUCCCACCUCCCAGCAGUUGUGUGUUUCUGCAGAACAAACUUCAGCUGAAUAGUACAAAGGAAGUAAGCUGCCAUGACUGUGUGCGUGUGUGUGAGGGUCGGUGUGUUUGCGUGAGUAGGUCCUUUUUAAAAAAAAAUAUAUAUAUAUAAGACUGAGCUCAUUUGCUUUUAUCAGUGACCCGUUUGAUCUGCCCUCUGACCCUCAGCCUAGCUGCUCAGCUCCAUCGCACCAGUGGGAAAACCGCGUUUGCAUGACCUCCAACCCUUUAUGUGCUUGUUAGGGUUGUUGAAUGUAGAAGGUUGUGAACUCCAUAGAAUAUAGAAUUCUAUUGCUAUGGUGACUGCGGCCAUAAACUGUUCUCUGGUCCGUAUGUUUCAUGUCGUUUCACAGGCAUGAGCUUUUGUUGAUUCUUUCAUUUCGCUAAUGUUAAUCUAAUUUUAUGUUGUUUUUUUUUCAUCUUUACACUUUCUUUUGCCGAGACAUUGAGGACACAAUUUAGAAGACGAGGAAUGUUUGACAUUCUUAUUUUAUGUGUAUAUUUUGUGAAUAUAUUAUUAAGUAUUUCCGUAGGUCGCUAUUUGUAUUCCAACUGUAUAACCCUGCUUGAUGAUCAGCUGCACUGCAUUAACCAUUCAGUGGUUUGAAUGGCAAACCGCAACUUUUGUAUUUUAAGAGUUUAGUCCGUGCUCCUCGUACACAUUGUUCACUGCUAGUUUUUAAUGUUAUGAUGGUAGCCUGCGUUACUGCGAAAUAUUGGCAAAUUCAGGUGUUUAGUCACCUGAAUUGAAAAACAAAUCCUCAAAAAUUGAAUGAAAUACAAUCCCACAAUAAAUCCCCCAAAUAAACCCCUACUCACCUUUCCCACAAAAUUGUAUAUUACUGUAUUCAAUAAAGCCAAUUAUGUAUUUCCCUCUUGCGACUUUUUUGUAAUGAACCACCACUGUGCACUGAUAAAGAUAUACUGUAUAUACUGUGUUUAACGAAACAAUUGGGCUAGAGCUGCGACAGUUAACCGAUUAAUCGAUUAGUAUUCGACCACCAAAUGAAUGGCCAAUGAUUUCGAUAGUUGAUUAUCGGUUCAAGUAGGGAUUUUUAUUUUAAAAAAAGGUCAAAAUUCUAUGAUUUCAGCUUCUUAAAUGUGAAUAUUUUCUGGUUUCUUUGCACCUCUAUGGCCGUAAACUAAAUAACUUUAGAAUGUGGACAACAUAUAUCUUUUGAUUUGGGAAACAUGAUCAACAUUUUUCAGCGUUUUAUUAC
rnacentral:lncRNA from 1 species